AGAGUUUGAUCCUGGCUCAGAACGAACGCUGGCGGCAUGCCUAACACAUGCAAGUCGAACGGGCCCCUUCGGGGGUCAGUGGCAGACGGGUGAGUAACGCGUGGGAACGUGCCCAUCGGUUCGGGAUAACCCAGGGAAACUUGGGCUAAUACCGGAUACGCCCUUUGGGGGAAAGAUUCAUUGCCGAUGGAUCGGCCCGCGUCUGAUUAGCUAGUUGGCGAGGUAACGGCUCACCAAGGCGACGAUCAGUAGCUGGUCUGAGAGGAUGAUCAGCCACACUGGGACUGAGACACGGCCCAGACUCCUACGGGAGGCAGCAGUGGGGAAUAUUGGACAAUGGGCGCAAGCCUGAUCCAGCCAUGCCGCGUGAGUGAUGAAGGCCUUAGGGUUGUAAAGCUCUUUCACCCACGACGAUAAUGACGGUAGUGGGAGAAGAAGCCCCGGCUAACUUCGUGCCAGCAGCCGCGGUAAUACGAAGGGGGCUAGCGUUGCUCGGAAUCACUGGGCGUAAAGGGCGCGUAGGCGGCCGAUCAAGUCAGGGGUGAAAGCCUGUGGCUCAACCACAGAAUUGCCUUUGAUACUGUUCGGCUCGAGACCGGAAGAGGUUGGUAGAACUGCGAGUGUAGAGGUGAAAUUCGUAGAUAUUCGCAAGAACACCAGUGGCGAAGGCGGCCAACUGGUCCGGUUCUGACGCUGAGGCGCGAAAGCGUGGGGAGCAAACAGGAUUAGAUACCCCCGUAGUCC
rnacentral:rRNA from 2 species